GCAACAUAUUGUGUUGACUCAAGGACAACAAUUUGCUAAAUAAAACCUAAACCCACCUCAAACCCCAACCCUAACCAAACCCUAAAAUCAGAUGGACAUGAUAAGUGAAAAACAAUGGUCUAGAAACAGCUAAUCCUGGUUGUAAGCUUAAACUUAAAACAAACUUUAAACUUAUUUCUGAAAUCUGAUUGGUUGAUUGAAAUGUUGUCCCAAGUGUGGCGAUCGAUGAUUGGGCUUUGAAGAGGAGAGGAGGCCCAUAAAAAGGGCGUGAAAGAAACUGAAGGAGAGCAGUUGUUCCACGAGUUCGCUUUGGGAGCCCGCUGGAUUGUUGUGAAAGGGGGCGGGUGAGGGCAAGCCGGAAAAAUGAAACGAAGAGUAAAGACGAGCAUCUGGAUGAAGGAAGCCAAUGGCAGAUGAAAAGUAGCCUUCAACGAAGGAGUGAAAAGCCACGUUUGUUCCGGCGUUCACGGAAGAGCGAAGCGGGUGCUCGUUUUCCGUCGAUCGCUGUGUGUGAAGCGGAGGUCUAUGGUGUGUUUGGAGAGACAUCUUUUGUGUGGAUUUGUAGGCUGGGCGAAAUCAAGACAGGAGAAUUGGGCUGAAAUAAAGACGGAGAUAAGUGCUGAACUCAUUUAUACUGCAGUGAUGCGCUGUUGAUUCUACUGUGUAUGUUGAAGAAAUCUUAUAUGUCGAAAGGAUGGAGGAGUCUGCAUAAACAAGGCCCUGGAUGGUUGGGACAUCUGUAAGGAAAAAGGGAAGAAGGAGUUAAAGGAACAGUGCGAUACGUUGGAGUUUGUCUUGUUAUCACUCUGUCACUUGCAAUAUUAACCAUACUGUCCUCUUAGUUUGUCUUUGUUCCCUGAUUGAGUGUGUUAGCCCCCAGCUUGUUGUGAAAAUUCAUUGACACAUUGGAGUCGGCGGAGGAAGGGAAGGGCUCAAGUAGUCGUGGCCUUGACGUUUACAUAUGGUUGUCUUCUGCCUUAGUCAUCGAACGAUACAGGACUCUGAACACGGCCCAACGGGUGACCCUGACCUUCAUCACCGUGAGUGCGUGGAGUGCGGUGGGUGAUUAUUUUGUGAGAGUGUACACUUGGAUUUUUGGAGUGCUGUGUAUUGUCAGUGUUGUCAGCGAUCACUUCCCAGGCUGAAGAAAGAGACCUGUUUCCGAAGAGCAGAGUGGUGGCACUGGACAGCUGUCUUUUAUUCCUAUACGACUGGGACAGAUUCAACUCCUCCCACGCCUGUGGUGGCGCCUCGACUGUAGCAAGUAAGGCUGGGCUGUGAACAUUGUGUUCGACAUCUGCAGAGGGAGAGCUUGUAUCUAUCUAUUUGUGGUGGGGAAAAAGUGUACUUACUGUUGUUGUGUAUAACUAUACACGUGUCGAGUGUUUCCAGAUGUCAAUCUAUGUCCAUAUCUUCUGCCUGGUUGUCUGAAAGAAAGUUGAGGUGAAGUGGCUGGCCCCGCUCUUGUAGCACGCUGUACCGUACGACCCCCCCACCUCCAUCUACCUACCUCUGUGACCCCAUCUAGUGGGUGCGUUUGUCUAAACAACAAUCCGCCUCACCCGGUGCCUCCAUCUGCCCCUUUCCUGCCUGAAGCUAAGAGGUGGUGUAAUCCUCCUUGCAUGUUCCUUGAAGUAUUGUUAUUGUCGAAGAGAUUGUGUGUCUUUGCUGCCAGCCUGCAGGUCCGAGCCAAGGGCUCUGUGUCGUCGAGGGAUUGUGUUAUCCUAUGCCCUGAAGUUGACGCCUAAGUGGUCGUCGUAAGUCUGUUCGAGAGAGGAAGACUAGAAGUCGUUGUGUGCCUAUACGUCUGCUCCAACCACCAGAGUGUCAAGAAGGAUAAGCCUUGUACAUCCGCCCAUUCCCUUGCCAGUAAGUUCAAGUUGCAAAGCUACUUACCAGUGUACCCACCUGUAUACCUCCCUAUAUGCCUAAAAGCUAAAAGCCCAGUGUACUUACCUGUAUACUCCCCUGUGUAUGCCCAAAGCUACCUACCAGUGUACCCACCUGUAUACCUCCCUGUAUGCCUAAAAGCUAAAAGCCCAGUGUACUUACCUGUAUACUCCCCUGUGUAUGCCCAAAGCUACCUACCAGUGUACCCACCUGUAUACUCCCCUGUGUACGCCCAAAGCUACUUACCAGUGUACCCACCCGUAUACCUCCCUGUACGCCUAAAGCCCAGUGUACUUACCUGUAUCUAUCCUUCUGAGCUCAGGAAAAGAGGCUAGAAACGUUCACUUGUAGUUCACCUGUGAGACGCAAAGAGAGGAAGCCGGGAAGACUUACAUGUAGUUCACGUGGAGACGAAGAGAGAGGGAAAGUCAGGAAGACUUACCUGCAGUCUACGUGAACAGUCAGAAGUGACUCGGAUCACUGUUCCCUCAGUUCCAGAAAGCUCACCAUUUUUAGAACCCUUCCCCCUUUCCCUGUUUUUAAUUAAAUAAAGACUGUUACAUUUUA